UCAGCUCAAACUGUCAGACUGUCACAUGCUAGGCGAUUCUGACGGGAAAUUGAUAAAUUCCUCAUCCUCGGCGGAGAAUUUUUUUGCUACCUAUCGGUGUGGAGGCUGCCAGAUGAUUUUUAUUCACACCUGUGUAUAGGAAGCUGAGCAACUGGACGGGUUUUGUGACCUGGACUUGAAGACAGCCUCUCCAAUGUUGUUGUUGUAUACAAUGGGAUGUGGCCGAAGUCGAACUGCUUCCUCUGCAAACUCUAAAGCGAAUGAGAAGGACGAAGAAAAUAAUGUCACGAUGCACAAAAACAACAAGAGUCAUAUCAAUAAAGAUUGUAAAAAAGAAAAUAUUGACCCAAUCAAGAAGAAAGAAUCUGUGCAAGUGAAAAAUGUGGAGCGUAAAAUCAGCGAGAAUAAAUACACGGAGAAUACGCCGUCAGCUCGGAUUUCUCACAACACGGUGAAUGGGUCCAUGGUGCCGGAUAGUCCAGCGGACCAGACAGGGGCAGAUAAUCCA